ACCAUGAGAGUUGGGAAUACCCGAAGCCUGUGAGCUAACAUUAUGAGGCAGCAGUCGAAGGUAGAAUCAAUGAUUGGGUGAAGUCGUAACAAGGUAUC
rnacentral:rRNA from 1 species